rnacentral:rRNA from 1 species
AUUGAACGCUGGCGGCAGGCCUAACACAUGCAAGUCGGACGGUAGCACAGAUGAGCUUGCUCCUCGGGUGACGAGUGGCGGACGGGUGAGUAAUGUCUGGGGAUCUGCCCGAUAGAGGGGGAUAACCACUGGAAACGGUGGCUAAUACCGCAUAACGUCGCAAGACCAACGAGGGGGACCUUCGGGCCUCCCACUAUCGGAUGAACCCAGAUGGGAUUAGCUAGUAGGCGGGGUAACGGCCCACCUAGGCGACGAUCCCUAGCUGGUCUGAGAGGAUGACCAGCCACACUGGAACUGAGACACGGUCCAGACUCCUACGGGAGGCAGCAGUGGGGAAUAUUGCACAAUGGGCGCAAGCCUGAUGCAGCCAUGCCGCGUGUAUGAAGAAGGCCUUCGGGUUGUAAAGUACUUUCAGCGGGGAGGAAGGCGAUGUGGUUAAUAACCGCGUCGAUUGACGUUACCCGCAGAAGAAGCACCGGCUAACUCCGUGCCAGCCGCCGCCGUAA